UACGUAGGGUGCGAGCGUUAAUCGGAAUUACUGGGCGUAAAGCGUGCGUAGACGGUUGUGUAAGUCGGAUGUGAAAGCCCCGGGCUCAACCUGGGAAUGGCAUUCGAGACUGCAUAGCUAGGAUGCGGAAGAGGGAAGUGGAAUUUCCGGUGUAGCGGUGAAAUGCGUAGAUAUCGGAAGGAACACCAGUGGCGAAAGCGACUUCCUGGUCCAGCAUCGACGUUCAGGCACGAAAGCGUGGGGAGCAAACAGG
rnacentral:rRNA from 1 species